rnacentral:rRNA from 1 species
CCUACGGGGGGCAGCAGUAGGGAAUUUUCGGCAAUGGGGGGAACCCUGACCGAGCAACGCCGCGUGAACGAAGAAGUUAUUCGUAAUGUAAAGUUCUUUUAACAGGGAAGAAAGAGAAAUUUGACGGUACCUGAAGAAUAAGCUCCGGCAAACUACGUGCCAGCAGCCGCGGUAAUACGUAGGGAGCGAGGGUUAUCGGGAAUUAUGGGGCGAAAAGGGUGCGUAGAUGGCAUAGUAAGUCUUUUGUAAAAAUGCUGGGCUCAACCCAGUAGGGCAAAAGAUACUGCAAAGCUAGAGUAUGACAGAGGCAAGUGGAACUACAUGUGUAGCGGUAAAAUGCGUAAAUAUAUGUAAGAACACCAGUGGCGAAGGCGGCUUGCUGGGUCGAUACUGACAUUGAGGCACGAAAGCGUGGGGAGCAAACAGGAUUAGAUACCCGAGUAGUC